rnacentral:rRNA from 1 species
GACGAACGCUGGCGGCGUGCUUAACACAUGCAAGUCGAGCGGAAAGGCCGCUUCGGUGGUACUCGAGCGGCGAACGGGUGAGUAACACGUGAGUAAUCUGCCCCUGGCUUUGGGAUAGCCACCGGAAACGGUGAUUAAUACCGGAUACGACCACUUCUCGCAUGGGAUGGUGGUGGAAAGUUUUUUCGGUCAGGGAUGUGCUCGCGGCCUAUCAGCUUGAUGGUGAGGUAAUGGCUCACCAUGGCUUCGACGGGUAGCCGGCCUGAGAGGGUGACCGGUCACACUGGGACUGAGACACGGCCCAGACUCCUACGGGAGGCAGCAGUGGGGAAUAUUGGACAAUGGGCGGAAGCCUGAUCCAGCAACGCCGCGUGAGGGAUGACGGCCUUCGGGUUGUAAACCUCUUUCAGCAGGGACGAAGCGCAAGUGACGGUACCUGCAGAAGAAGCACCGGCCAACUACGUGCCAGCCGCCGCAGUAA